GGAAAAAGCUAAGCCAAUAAAGAAAGAACCUGAGGUUACCAAAGAAAAGGUCCAGCCUGCACCUUCAAAGAAAGUUUCAGAAUCCACAUGGGCUACAUGGAUGAUGCGAACCAAACAACAUGUUUAACCAGUACAUUUUUAUUGUA